rnacentral:rRNA from 1 species
UGGGGAAUAUUGGACAAUGGGGGCAACCCUGAUCCAGCCAUGCCGCGUGUGUGAAGAAGGCCUUUUGGUUGUAAAGCACUUUAAGCAGGGAGGAGAGGCUAAUGGUUAAUACCCAUUAGAUUAGACGUUACCUGCAGAAUAAGCACCGGCUAACUCUGUGCCAGCAGCCGCGGUAAUACAGAGGGUGCGAGCGUUAAUCGGAAUUACUGGGCGUAAAGCGAGUGUAGGUGGCUCAUUAAGUCACAUGUGAAAUCCCCGGGCUUAACCUGGGAACUGCAUGUGAUACUGGUGGUGCUAGAAUAUGUGAGAGGGAAGUAGAAUUCCAGGUGUAGCGGUGAAAUGCGUAGAGAUCUGGAGGAAUACCGAUGGCGAAGGCAGCUUCCUGGCAUAAUAUUGACACUGAGAUUUGAAAGCGUGGGUAGCAAACAGGAUUAGAUACCCUGGUAGUCCACGCCGUAAACGAUGUCUACUAGCCGUUGGGGUCCUUGAGACUUUAGUGGCGCAGUUAACGCGAUAAGUAGACCGCCUGGGGAGUACGGCCGCAAGGUUAAAACUUAAAUGAAUUGAC